rnacentral:rRNA from 1 species
UACGAAGGGGGCUAGCGUUGUUCGGAAUUACUGGGCGUAAAGCGUGCGCAGGCGGCUUCUCAAGUCAGGUGGUAGCCAAGCCGGAGCAUCACGUCGAAAUUGCCCUUUGAACGUGUGAAGUUGGAGAUCGUAGGAGAGGUGAGUGGAAUUCCCAGUGUAGAGGUGAAAAUUCGUAGAUAUUGGGAAGAACACCGUGGCGAAGGCGGCUCACUGGCCGUCGAUACUGCUCAUGCACGACAGCGUGGGGAUCAAACAGG